rnacentral:piRNA from 1 species
UCCUCCUGAUAUUGCCAUCGUGUACAG